AUGGCCUGGACCCCUCUCCUCCUCACCCUCCUGGCUCACUGCACAGGUUCUGUGGCCUCCUAUGAGGUGACCCAGCCAUGCUCAGUGUCAGUGGCCCUGGGACAGACAGCCAGGCUCACCUGUGGGGGAGAAAAUACUGGAAAUAAAGCUGUUCACUGGUACCAGCAUAUGCCAUGCCAGGCCCCUGUGCUGCUCAUCUAUACUGAUAAAAACCGGCCCUCGGGGAUCCCUGACCGAUUCUCUGGCUCCAACUCAGGAAACAUGGCCACCCUGACCAUCAGUGGGGUCCAGGCUGGGGACGAGGCUGACUAUUAAUGUCAGGCAGCAGACAGUA